rnacentral:rRNA from 1 species
UCCUCAUGGCCUUUACUGCCCAGGGCUACACACGUGCUACAAUGGGCGGUACAAAGAGAAGCAACCUCGCGAGGGUGAGCAAAUCUCAAAAAGCCGUUCUCAGUUCGGAUUGAAGUCUGCAACUCGACUUCAUGAAGUCGGAAUCGCUAGUAAUCGCGGAUCAGCAUGCCGCGGUGAAUACGUUCCCGGGCCUU